CCACUGGUCUUCAGGAUCAGACUCAGCUGGACUCCAUAUUUAAGCUGCUGGAGGAGAACAUCUGCACUUUUGUCAAGAACGAACUGAAGAAAUUCCACCAGGUUCUAAGUACAGAUUACCCAGAAUGCUUAGAAAGCCUGAGUGAUGAGGAUGAAGAGCAGAGGAGGAGCUCAGAGGCUUUUCUGAAGAUCACACUGAACUUCCUGAGGAGGCUGAAGCAGGAGGAGCUGGCUGAGCGUCUGCACCGCAGAAGUCAGUAUGGAGUUGUUCAGAGGAAACUGAAACGUAAUCUGCAGCAGAAGUUUGAGUGUGUGUUUGAGGGCAUCGCUAAAGCAGGAAACCCCAAAACCCUCCUGAACCAGAUCUACACAGAGCUCUACAUCACAGAGGGAGGGGCUACAGAGGUCAACCAGGACC